rnacentral:rRNA from 1 species
AACGACCCCCCAGAGCCGAAAACUUGGUCAAACUCGGUCAUUUAGAGGAAGUAAAAGUCGUAACAAGGUUUCCGUAGGUGAACCUGCGGAAGGAUCAUUACCGAGUGAGGGCCCUCUGGGUCCAACCUCCCACCCGUGUUUAUUUUACCUUGUUGCUUCGGCGGGCCCGCCUUUACUGGCCGCCGGGGGGCUCACGCUCCCGGGCCCGCGCCCGCCGAAGACACCCCCGAACUCUGUCUGAAGAUUGCAGUCUGAGUGAAAACGAAAUUAUUUAAAACUUUCAACAACGGAUCUCUUGGUUCCGGCAUCGAUGAAGAACGCAGCGAAAUGCGAUACGUAAUGUGAAUUGCAAAUUCAGUGAAUCAUCGAGUCUUUGAACGCACAUUGCGCCCCCUGGUAUUCCGGGGGGCAUGCCUGUCCGAGCGUCAUUGCUGCCCUCAAGCCCGGCUUGUGUGUUGGGCCCCGUCCCCCGAUCCCGGGGGACGGGCCCGAAAGGCAGCGGCGGCACCGCGUCCGGUCCUCGAGCGUAUGGGGCUUUGUCACCCGCUCCGUAGGCCCGGCCGGCGCCUGCCGAUCAACCCCAAAUUUUUAAUCCAGGUUGACCUCGGAUCAGGUAGGGAUACCCGCUGAACUUAAGCAUAUCAAUAAGCGGAGGAAAAGAAACCAACAGGGAUUGCCCCAGUAACGGCGAGUGAAGCGGCAAGAGCUCAAAUUUGAAAGCUGGCUCCUUCGGGGUCCGCAUUGUAAUUUGCAGAGGAUGCUUCGGGAGCGGUCCCCAUCUAAGUGCCCUGGAACGGGACGUCAU